GACGAACGCUGGCGGCGUGCUUAACACAUGCAAGUCGAACGAAGUGGCGAACGGGUGAGUAACGCGUAAUCAACCUGCCCUUCAGAGGGGGACAACAGUGGGAAAUGACUGCUAAUACCGCAUACUGAAGGAGGGGAUUGCGUCGGAUCGGCUAGGUGGAGGGGUAACGGCCCACCAAGGCGAUGAUCAGUAGCCGGUCUUAGAGGAUGAACGGCCACAAUUGGACUGAGACACGGCCCAGAAUCCUACGGGAUGCAGCAGUGGGGAAUCUUCCGCAAUGGACGAAAGACUGACGGAGCAACGCCGCGUGAGUGAUGCCGGCCUUCGGGUUGUAAAGCUCUUUUAAUCGGGACGCGGUACCGGAAUAGAAAGCCACGGCUAACUACGUGCCAGCAGCCGCGGUAAUAC
rnacentral:rRNA from 1 species